ACAUCUACUAUCUGUACUUCUUAGACACAUCUACUAUCUGUACUUCUUAGACACAUCUACUAUUGUGUCUAAGAAGUACAGAUAGUAGAUGUGUCUAAGAAGUACAGAUAGUAGAAAU
rnacentral:pre_miRNA from 1 species